rnacentral:sRNA from 1 species
GCCAGUGUGGCAAGUACUGCAAGAAAGAUGGAUAUUACCCUUUUCAAUUUUAGGAGCUGGAAUAUACAAUAGAUGUAUUUUUCCGUCAAAGCUGGAAGGAUGAAAGGUUAAAAUUUAAAGGACCCAUGACAGUCCUCCGGUUAAAUAACCUAAUGGCAAGUAAAAUCUGGACUCCGGACACAUUUUUCCACAAUGGAAAGAAGUCAGUGGCCCACAACAUGACCAUGCCCAACAAACUCCUGCGGAUCACAGAGGAUGGCACCUUGCUGUACACCAUGAGGCUGACAGUGAGAGCUGAAUGUCCGAUGCAUUUGGAGGACUUCCCUAUGGAUGCCCAUGCUUGCCCACUAAAAUUUGGAAGUUAUGCUUAUACAAGAGCAGAAGUUGUUUAUGAAUGGACCAGAGAGCCAGCACGUUCAGUGGUUGUAGCAGAAGAUGGAUCACGUCUAAACCAGUAUGACCUUCUUGGACAAACAGUAGACUCUGGAAUUGUCCAGUCAAGUACAGGAGAAUAUGUUGUUAUGACCACUCAUUUCCACUUGAAGAGAAAGAUUGGCUACUUUGUUAUUCAAACAUACCUGCCAUGCAUAAUGACAGUGAUUCUCUCACAAGUCUCCUUCUGGCUCAACAGAGAGUCUGUACCAGCAAGAACUGUCUUUGGAGUAACAACUGUGCUCACCAUGACAACAUUGAGCAUCAGUGCCAGAAACUCCCUCCCUAAAGUGGCUUAUGCAACAGCUAUGGAUUGGUUUAUUGCCGUGUGCUAUGCCUUUGUGUUCUCAGCUCUGAUUGAGUUUGCCACAGUAAACUAUUUCACUAAGAGAGGUUAUGCAUGGGAUGGCAAAAGUGUGGUUCCAGAAAAGCCAAAGAAAGUAAAGGAUCCUCUUAUUAAGAAAAACAACACGUACGCUCCAACAGCCACCAGCUACACCCCUAAUUUGGCCAGGGGCGACCCAGGCUUAGCCACCAUUGCUAAAAGUGCAACCAUAGAACCUAAAGAGGUCAAGCCCGAAACAAAACCACCAGAACCCAAGAAAACCUUUAACAGUGUCAGCAAAAUUGACCGACUGUCAAGAAUAGCCUUCCCGCUGCUAUUUGGAAUCUUUAACUUAGUCUACUGGGCUACAUAUUUAAACAGAGAGCCUCAGCUAAAAGCCCCCACACCACAUCAAUAGAUCUUUUACUCACAUUCUGUUGUUCAGUCCUCUGCACUGGGAAUUUAUUUAUGUUCUCAACGCAGUAAUUCCCAUCUGCUUUAUUGCCUCUGUCUUAAAGAAUUUGAAAGUUUCCUUAUUUUCAUAAUUCAUUUAAGAACAAGAGACCCCUGUCUGGCAGUCUGGAGCAAAGCAGACUAUGCAGCUUGGAGACAGGAUUCUGACAGAGCAAGUGAAAGAGCAAAGUCAUGUCAGAAGGAGACAGAAUGAGAGAGAAAAGAGGGGGAAGACGGUUCAAAGAUACAAGAAAAAGUAGAAAAAAAAAAUGACACUUAACUAAAACCCCUAGGUCAUUUGUAGAUAUAUAUUUCCAAAUAUUCUAAAAAAGAUACUGUAUAUGUCAAAAAUAUUUUUAUGUGAAGGUGUUUCAAAGGAUAAAUUAUAAAUGUUUCAUGAAGAAAAAAUUUAAAAAAUCUAUGUCUUUAUUACACAAACUAUGGUGUGCUUAUGUUUUUGUUUUGCUUUUUAAACUGAUGUAUAGCUUUAACAUUUUGUUUCCAAAGCUGAAGAUCCCCAUUCUUUCUCUUUGAAAAAAAAAGCCUAAUGCAUUAUUUUGUCAUAAAAUGCUAUUUUAAAAUUCAUGGAACUUUCAUAGGUAAAGGUGCAGUUGCUCAUUGUAGAGCACAUUUAGUCCAAUGAAGAUAAAUGCUUUAAAUAGUUUACUUCACUUUCAUCUGAGCUUUUACCACUAGACUCAAGGAAGAAUAAUUUUAACAGACAUGUAUACUCCAUAGAAACUAAACCAAAAUAGUUUAAAAAUAUUCCCUUUUUCACCCUAUUUUCAGAUAGCACAUGAGCCCAACACUCAAUUCUCAUUAUGAAGAUGUUUUUAGAGGGGCAAAAAUAUUUUGCAAGCUCUGGAAUUGUUGAAUGUAUUCUUUUAUAUAACUACAUUAAAAGCUUUAGAUUGAAAUUUAUGACUAGCAAACAAAAAUAGAAUAUAUAAACGAUAUAUGUAAAUAUACAGCAUGAGAUUGUACUUUUUUACUUUUUUAAAAUUGUGUUCUUAAAAUAUUGUGUAAGAAUCACUGCACUUGGCUGUUAGAAUGUUGUUAAAUGCUAUGGAAAUACAUUUAGAACCUGCAUUUAAGAACAGAACAGCAAGUAUGGACCACAUGGAACUUAAAACAUAUGGGUGUGAAGUCCACUUAUGUAGACAAAACUUAUAAUUUCCAAACUGUUGUCUAGUAUACAGUGAUCAGUUGCUCUCUGUUCAAGUCAUUCCACACAUUUCCCUAUUUUAGGCUAUUAUAAUAUAGAAAGAAAGUGGGAAGCAUUAGUUGGAGCUAGAAAAUGAACUGUAUAUUAUUGCUAUAUUUGCUAAUACCAACUAUUUCAAUAAGUGUUGUACCAUAUGUAGCAUUAAAUAUAAAAUACAUAAAAGAAUGUACAGAAAAUAGCUUUUAUUGAGUAAUAUUAUUACAUUUCAUUUAUACUGUAGCAAUAUAUUUGUAGGUAUACUAUGUAAGGGCUUUAAAUAAAAGAGGUCCAUUAAUACUUCCUUAUAAAAAUUCUAGUCUGUUUCAUUACUGCCCAGAUGUUUUAGAGAUAAAUAUUUAUGCAGAAGGUAUUUUUGAAGUCUCCUUUUGUCUGAUAGAGUUUAACAGAUAUUUAAAUUUAGUGUUCAGAAUCCACAAGUCAUGGUCUAAACACACUUAGAAUACUACAGCAUAAAUCUGUUAGCAUUAUUGCCAAAUAAGACAGUUGGGAUCCAAACCCAAGUCUUGAGCAAUGUUUUUCUCAAAAAGCUGCUAUCCAAUGAUACAGGAAAAUACAUUGUGUUUUCCUAAACACACUUUUCUUUUUAAAUGUGCUUCAUUGUUUGAUUUGGUCCUGCCUAAAUUUCACAAGCUAGGCCAAUGAAGGCUGAAUCAAAGACAUUUCAUCCACCAAUAUCAUGUGUAGAUAUUAUGUAUAGAAAAUAAAAUAAAUUAUGGCUCUAACUUCUGUGUUGCUGUUUAUCUUGUUAUUUUUCGGCGUUAUACUAAUGUGUUUAUUGAGAGCAUUUUACCUUCCAGACUUCUCAUGGCUAACUUUUGGUCUGUAUUUUGCUCCUUAGAUGUGAAUAUUUCUUAUUAGUCUGCUUCCUGCUACGCAAUGACUGCAUUUCUAUCAUUUCUCAGUUUGUUAGUAUAUGUGGAUAGUAUUCUACUGUAUAAAUGAUUGCAAAGUUUAUCAAAAACAAAUUAUUAUAUGUAGCUUUUCUACAGUGCUUUGCUAAACCAUGUAGUACUAGUUAAGUCUUCCUUGAAAAUAAAGAUACACUCUUAUAGGGGACAGUUCCUGUUUACUCCCAGGAAACUUUUUUAAAAGAUGACACUGAAUGUUUAUUGCACUUUAGUGCAGUGAAGUGGCAAUAAAACCUAACAUGAAUCAAGGUUGUUUAUGGCAGAUGCAUGUGUUGCUUUACAGAGUUUAGCAAAAGCUCUUAAUUUUAUGUCAUACUGUAUUCUACUCAA